rnacentral:tRNA from 1 species
AAAUAAGAAGCAAUUUAUGCAUUUAAUUUCGACUUAAAAAGAAGAGUAAAUUUAUUACUCCUUAUUUA